UAGGGAAUCUUCGGCAAUGGGGGGAACCCUGACCGAGCAACGCCGCGUGCGUGAAGAAGGCUUUCGGAUCGUAAAGCUCUUUUGUUAAGGAAGAACGAGUGUGAGAAUGGAAAGUUCAUGCUGUGACGGUACUUAACCAGAAAGGGACGGCUAACUACGUGCCAGCACCCGCGGUAAUACGUAGGUCCCGAGCGUUGUCCGGAUUUAUUGGGCGUAAAGCGAGCGCAGGCGGCUAGAAAAGUCUGAAGUGAAAGGCAGUGGCUCAACCAUUGUAGGCUUUGGAAACUGAUUAACUUGAGUGCAGAAGGGGAGAGUGGAAUUCCAUGUGUAGCGGUGAAAUGCGUAGAUAUAUGGAGGAACACCGGUGGCGAAAGCGGCGCACUGGACUGUAACUGACGAUGAGGCUCGAAAGCGUGGGGAGCGAACAGG
rnacentral:rRNA from 1 species